rnacentral:rRNA from 1 species
GAUGAACGCUAGCGGCAGGCCUAAUACAUGCAAGUCGAACGGUGUAGCAAUACACAGUGGCGCACGGGUGCGUAACACGUAUGCAGCCUACCUUACAUUGGGGGAUAGCCUUUCGAAAGGGAGAUUAAUACCGCAUAAGACAGUAACUAGGCAUCUAGUAGCUGUUAAAGAUUUAUCGAUGUAAGCUGGGCAUGCGUCCAAUUAGUUAGUUGGCGAGGUAAUGGCUCACCAAGACGAUGAUUGGUAGGGGAACUGAGAGGUCAAUCCCCCACACUGGCACUGAGAUACGGGCCAGACUCCUACGGGAGGCAGCAGUAGGGAAUAUUGGGCAAUGGGCGCAAGCCUGACCCAGCCAUGCCGCGUGCAGGAAGAAGGCGUUAUGCGUUGUAAACUGCUUUUAUACAGGAAGAAACGACCCUUGCGAGGGGCAUUGACGGUACUGUAUGAAUAAGCACCGGCUAACUCCGUGCCAGCAGCCGCAGUAAUAC